rnacentral:misc_RNA from 1 species
GUGCAGCAUCUUUACUGCCACUUGUGUGUGACGAAGAAGGCCUCUAUAAAUGCAUCCAUAACCACCUUCUCCAAUCUUCAAGGCUGGGUCAAAAGUCCGAGUUGCUUCUUCAAUUUCAUGAAAAUAAAAUUCAGCAAAUAGUGAAGAUGUAGAUGUUAAUGAAGACCCAUCUGAGUGCUGUUCCCUCAGUGCCUCUGCUGAUUUGAGUGCUUCAUCACGCUCCACCUCCAAUUCAUCUCUCUCCUUCCUGUACUUCUGCAAAAGGUCGACAGCAGAGAACAUUUUCUGUUCCAACUCUUGUACCUGAGCGUCAGAAACUAAGAGUUGACCCUCCAGUGAAGAGUUCUGUGCUUGAGCUGCUUGCAGAUCUCUCAGAAGUUUGUUUAGCUGUGCUUUCAUCUGAUCAGCUUUUUCUCUGUCUUUUGCAAGUGCUUCCUCUAUUUCUCUCCUCCAUCUCAACUCAUCAGCAUAGAAUGUUUCUGAUGCUUUUGCCCUUCGUCUAGCCUCAAUUGCAUCCUUUUCCGCUUUCCUACGCUUGAUUGAUUCUUCAAAAGCUUCCCGC